rnacentral:rRNA from 1 species
CCUACGGGGGGCAGCAGUGAGGAAUAUUGGUCAAUGGGCGUAAGCCUGAACCAGCCAAGUCGCGUGAGGGAUGAAGGUUCUAUGGAUCGUAAACCUCUUUUAUAAGGGAAUAAAGUGUGGGACGUGUCCUGUUUUGUAUGUACCUUAUGAAUAAGGAUCGGCUAACUCCGUGCCAGCAGCCGCGGUAAUACGGAGGAUCCGAGCGUUAUCCGGAUUUAUUGGGUUUAAAGGGUGCGUAGGUGGCCUUUUAAGUCAGCUGUGAAAGUCUGUGGCUCAACCAUAAAAUUGCAGUUGAUACUGGGAGGCUUGAGUAUGUUUGAGGCAGGCGGAAUGCGUGGUGUAGCGGUGAAAUGCUUAGAUAUCACGCAGAACCCCGAUUGCGAAGGCAGCCUACUAAGCCAUGACUGACGCUGAUGCACGAAAGUGUGGGGAUCAAACAGGAUUAGAUACCCUAGUAGUC